GACGAACGCUGGCGGCGUGCCUAAUACAUGCAAGUAGAACGCACAGUUUAUACCGUAGCUUGCUACACCAUAGACUGUGAGUUGCGAACGGGUGAGUAACGCGUAGGUAACCUGCCUGGUAGCGGGGGAUAACUAUUGGAAACGAUAGCUAAUACCGCAUAAUAUUAAUUAUUGCAUGAUAAUUAAUUGAAUGGUGCAAUUGCACCACUACCAGAUGGACCUGCGUUGUAUUAGCUAGUAGGUGAGGUAACGGCUCACCUAGGCGACGAUACAUAGCCGACCUGGGGGGGUGAUCGGCCACACUGGGACUGGGACACGGCCCAGACUCCUACGGGAGGCAGCAGUAGGGAAUCUUCGGCAAUGGACGAAAGUCUGACCGAGCAACGCCGCGUGAGUGAAGAAGGUUUUCGGAUCGUAAAGCUCUGUUGUAAGAGAAGAACGGGUGUGAGAGUGGAGAGUUCACACUGUGACGGUAUCUUACCAGAAAGGGACGGCUAACUACGUG
rnacentral:rRNA from 1 species